rnacentral:lncRNA from 1 species
GGGCGAUCCUCGUGAUGGUGUGUAGACUGUAGUGCGCGUGCGCCGGGCUGCGGGACCUCGUCGCCGAGCGCGAGCACUUGAACGGCAGGUACAUGGCCGAUGGCCAAGCGACGGCGUCUGUUCUUCCUCGAGCGCUCAGAGACCGACGACGGCAGACGGCUCGAGCCGUAGCUGAAGGAGAAGUACGUGGCGAUUAGGUGGUGGUGCUGGCCUCUUAGCAGCUAAGAACGUGGAACAUGACCACGUUCCUCGUUCCGGGACGGAAACGUUUCUGGAAGUGCCGUACCACGUUCCUCGUUCCACGUUUCAGUUCCCAUCGUUCCGAGAACAUGGUUGCCAAAGCUAGCC